AACGAACGCUGGCGGCAGGCUUAACACAUGCAAGUCGAACGCUCCGCAAGGAGAGUGGCAGACGGGUGAGUAACGCGUGGGAAUCUACCCAGUUCUACGGAACAACUGAGGGAAACUUCAGCUAAUACCGUAUACGCCCUAUGGGGGAAAGAUUUAUCGGAAUUGGAUGAGCCCGCGUAAGAUUAGCUAGUUGGUGAGGUAAUGGCUCACCAAGGCGACGAUCUUUAGCUGGUCUGAGAGGAUGAUCAGCCACACUGGGACUGAGACACGGCCCAGACUCCUACGGGAGGCAGCAGUGGGGAAUAUUGGACAAUGGGCGCAAGCCUGAUCUAGCCAUGCCGCGUGAGUGAUGAAGGCCUUAGGGUUGUAAAGCUCUUUCAGUGGGGACGAUAAUGACGGUACCCAACAGAAGAAGCCCCGGCUAACUCGUAGCCAGCAGCCGCGGUAA
rnacentral:rRNA from 1 species